rnacentral:ncRNA from 1 species
UGAUAGCGUUGAAGCGUGAGGUUGCUGCGGUCUGUGCCGCAGGUUUUCCGUGGAGCGAAUGUCAAGUUCUGAGAAACUGGCGACAA